CUGCUCACUUCAGCCGCACAUACGCUAAAAUUGGAGCAUAGAUUAGCAUGCACCCUGCGUGAGGAUGGCAUGGACAUUUGUGAAGCUUUCCAUAUUUAA
rnacentral:snRNA from 1 species